CCGGUACCAUUCCAAAUUUUGGCUAUCGCCUUCUGCAACUUCUUUUUCUCUCUGUUUUUCUCGGUUACCAAUCAUUUUUUUUUUCGCUUGAGCAUGCUAUAAAAUCUAAAGUCUUAACAUUUCAGCCCCAUCAAGAGAAUUUUUCGUCUUCCAAACCUACGAAAGUGCGACUUAGUUCAUGAAAUCCAUUUUUAUUCUAUAAAUUUAUCUCUAUUUUUACAAAAUCAAGUUUAGAUUACACAUGUUUUAUAUAUAUAUAAAUUUCCAGUUUUCAGCUCCAUCCGUUUAACUUUACAUCUUUGAAACAUAUGCAUUCCAAUUGCAACUGGUACAAGAGCAGUCAAAGUAAACCACUUAAGAGAAUCUGCAUGGAAGACUGCUUUUUGCUUUUUCAAUUUCCUCUGCGCAUGUAUACAUAAAGAUACAUAUAUGUAUUAUAUGUGCGCAUGUAAAGAGAGAAAAGGAAGCAAGUAGUGAAGGUAGGACCAACUGGGUUGACCCAUGGAAUGUGAAAAUCUUAAAGGAGGUUGGCAAUCUGGGAUUUGGUCAUUGGUGACUUAAAGAUACGUGUAACUACCCAUUGCCCAUUCAAGUAUGGAAGAAACUCAAAUUUGGUAUUCUUUGACUUUUAUAUAUGCAGGACAUAUACUAAUAAAUAAACAAACAACUUCAAAAAGAUUUAACAAUUUUAUGUGAAAUAAUAGAAAAAGUUAAACUACAGAUACUAAAUUGAGGUAAAAGAAAUUAUAAAUACUGAAAGUAAAAGGAGGCAAUUUUAUGUGAAAAUCUUCUGGUUUAUUUUUCUUCUCUUUUUUUUUUUUUUUUUUUUGACUUGUUCCUUUAACUCUGGGCAUUAUUUGGUAGAGAACAUGAUUGGAAAAGGAGGCAACGCAGAGGUAUAUAAAGGCUGCUUACCAGAGGGUGAAAUUGUAGCAGUGAAGAAGCUGAUGAGUAAUGAGAAGGAAGAAGAAGACAGAGUCAGUGAUUUCCUAUCAGAACUCGGGAUUAUUGCCCACGUAAACCACCAAAAUGCUGCUCGUUUAAUCGGUUUCAGCACUGAUUGUGGCUUGCACUUUGUCCUCGAAUUCUUGCCUCAUGGCAGCCUUGCUUCUUUGCUUUUUAGUACUGCUGCCUAUUCCUCUGUUCUUAUCUUUCUACAUCUCUCUCUUGUUCUCUCUCUCUUAGUUUGAUUGAACCGAUUAUUAAGCAAAAAUAUUUUGGAUUUCAGGUCCAACAGAAUGUUUAGAAUGGAAGAUAAGGUUCAAGGUAGCUAUCGGAGUUGCUGAUGGAUUGAGGUAUCUGCAUCAUGAUUGCCAGAGGAGAAUUAUUCAUAGAGACAUCAAGGCCUCUAACAUAUUGCUCACUGAAGAUUUUGAGGCACAGGUAGAAAUUCUAACACACUUGCCAUCCUCCAUGCCAAAUAUCAAGCUCAAAAGUUCACUAUAUUUUCUGACCGCUAAAUCUAUUUCCAAAAUCUUACAGAUUUCUGAUUUUGGACUGGCCAAGUGGCUACCAGAAAAUUGGCCUCAUCAUAUUGUAUAUCCUAUUGAGGGUACAUUCGGGUUAGACACCUAUCUCUAGUGAUGUGUUCUAUAUAUCUAUUAGCACUUAUUGCUUUUAUUUUAUUGUUCGUCGGAAAAUGACUUUCAGAUAUCUAGCUCCUGAAUACUUCAUGCAUGGGAUAGUUGAUGAGAAAACAGACAUAUUUGCCUUUGGGGUUCUACUGCUGGAGCUUAUAACGGGUCGCCGAGCAGUUGAUACAGCAAGCAGACAAAGUCUUGUGAUGUGGGUAUGAUUCCACUCUAAUCUUACUUCUUUCAAACCUAUUUUGAUUUGAACAGUUGAUACUUGACGAGACUAUAACAUAAUUACUUGUGAUGUGGGUAUCUUUUCAUUCUGAGGUAUUGUAUUUUCUAGUGACUACUUGAAUUUGAUUAUUGAAAAUAGUGCUCCGAAAAUCCACGGGAAUUAUUUAGAAUUGGUACAAAAAAAAAACUAAUCCUUCAACUCCAUGUUCAUUUUUGAUAAUCCUUUCUUCUUGCAGGCAAAGCCACUGUUGGAGAAAAACAAUUUAAAAGACUUAGUCGAUCCUCGAUUAGGAGAUGAUUUUGAUCUCACUGAAAUGAGACGUUCAAUGUUAACAGCUUCGCUGUGCAUAAACCACUUGGCCACCAUGCGUCCUAGCAUGAAUCGGGUAUUUCUUCUUUCCUAUUUUUAUUUUUUUCCAUUCUCAUAUUUGAUAGGAAUAUCAACGUUAACAUUCACGAACCAAACAACACCCUCAACCGACUUCUGUGGUUUAAUUUUCUUCUGCAAAAUAUAUUUAUGUUUAUCUAAUGCAAUAUAUUACUUGUUUUUUGGUAGGUUGUACACUUGCUAAGGGGAGAGGAUGGGCCAUUGGAGUUGCAGAAAUGUAAUACAGGGAGGGCAGGGAUUUUAGAAGGUUGUGAUUUGCAAGAUUAUACUUGCGCCAGUUACCUUGACGAGCUCACUCGUCACAGGCAGCUUGUGAUGGAGUAAAGUGGAGAAUUUGGUUGGAAUGUUGUUUGUUGUUGUUUUUUUUUUUUUUUGGGCUGCAGCCUGCUUGUUAUUACCAGUGUUGGCUUGUAAAUGGUGUGGCACCCUUGUAUGUACAAGUCAUGACAGACAGACAGACAUUGUAGGUGGGAGAUUUCUAGCUGGAGUUUUUCUAAAUCGUAUAGCUUGUACUUGGAAGAGUAGUUUUGUUUUUUUUUGCUGUACAUGUACGGAGAAAACUAGUGAGGAAAUCUCAUAAUGUUUGGAAAGAGUUUUUAUUAAUCAAAUGUUGCAGAAGUGAAAGGAAACAGCAAAUGGGUCUAUUCCAAAAUGUAAUUUACAAGAGUAUUUUUUGCACACGGCACUCGAGAUUGCCUCUACCCAUGACAGGAGAAGUGUGGCACUAGUUUAGGGUUUGUUUGGGAGAGUGGAAACGAAGGUGAGAAGAGAGAAAGGAAUAUGAUAGUUUAGUCUUCAACAGUAAAUUAUUAGUUUCUCUGUCUCUUCUUCUCCUUUCUCUCUUCCCAAACAAGACUUGCUUACAAACACACAGGUUCUAUAUAAUUACAGUAAAAAAAAAAAAAAAAUAGUCUCUAAAUAUAAAAUUAUUGACUUGGGACUGGGACUCAAGAACCAUGCGCAUGAACUGCAACAGUAAAAAUGUUGAUUUUGGUGAAAAGUAAAAAAUAAAACAUAAUAAUAAACCAGCAAGAAGACAUUCAGUCAAAAAGGUCAGACAAGUAGGGAUCUAUGUUUCUAAUUUUUUUUUUUCAUUUUUCUCAUAAUGGAUUUCUAAUUUUCUUGCAUACCCUUUAGCUUUAAGUUAUGAAAAAUUGUGCCAUUUGAUGUAAAUAUAUAUUAUAUGUAUAUAUAUAUAUAUAUAGUUUUUACUUUUUACUUUUUUAACUUUUUACCCAUCCCUGUGCUUCACACUUCAUACACCAACUCCAACGUUUAGAAAGUCACCUCCCUAGUUUUUACUUUGUUUUCUCCUCUUUCUCCGAGUCCUUUGACCUUUUUGUCGUUGUACAAGUAAAUAUUAUGAUUUUAAAAAAUAAAUUAUAAUUUAAUUAUCAAUAAAUAAAUAUAUUUUACAUUCUUUGUUUGUAAAUUAAAUUCUAAAAAAAUAUUUCAAAAAAAAAAAAAACUUGGAAAAUUAUUAUUAACAAAUACAAUUAAUUAUUCAGUUUUUAAUUUAUUAAAUAACAAGAGGAUUAUAUUUAAAUUAGCCCAGUGGGCCAGGGAAAGACACUUCCAAAAGCUUUCUUACAUCCACGAAAGGCCCGGCCCAGAUUCAUUUUGAGCUGACGUAAUCACCUCCGGGCCAUAUUUCUUUUUUUAUUUUUAUUUUAUUUUUCCCCUUUCCACUAAAAUCCAAAUAUUUAAAACCGAACCGAUCCACAAACCUAAAGAUACCUGGUUCAGGGAUCGCACCACCUGACUCGAGCCGAAGCCACCGCCGACGAGAGUCCACUCCCAAAGCCUAGGCGAAGCCGACACGGCUCUCUCUCUCUCUCUCUCUCCCGAGGAUCCAGCGCCGCACAUCUCUAGAGCCGUAGCUCCGUAUCUGCUCGAACGCAAGAGCUCCGCCUUGAGAUCGCUCGAGUCCGCAUUCUCCCCUCCGCGCAAGAAAUUACUUUCCGCCAAAGAGCGCGGAGAGGCGCUGGUUAAGAAAACACAGUUGAAAGUGGUGGUGAACCGGAGACGACGAGUCGACUCGGCGGUUGAGGAUUUGGAAUAAGCAGUUAGGUUGAGUCACAGCCGGGUGGCGUAACUCGCAAUCACUGCCUGCCGUGCGAGAGUCAUGCUCUGUGCGUAUGAAUUUUGUGCACACGAGAAUGAAAACUAUUUUGUCGAAAAUAAACUUAUUCAACUUAUAAUCAUUUUAUAUAAAUAUUUU
rnacentral:lncRNA from 1 species